rnacentral:rRNA from 1 species
AGUGAACGCUGGCGGUAGGCCUAACACAUGCAAGUCGAACGGCAGCACAGUAAGAGCUUGCUCUUACGGGUGGCGAGUGGCGGACGGGUGAGGAAUACAUCGGAAUCUACUUUUUCGUGGGGGAUAACGUAGGGAAACUUACGCUAAUACCGCAUACGACCUACGGGUGAAAGCAGGGGAUCUUCGGACCUUGCGCGAUUGAAUGAGCCGAUGUCGGAUUAGCUAGUUGGCGGGGUAAAGGCCCACCAAGGCGACGAUCCGUAGCUGGUGUGAGAGGAUGAUCGGCCACACGGGAACUGAGACACGGUCCAGACUCCUACGGGAGGCAGCAGUGGGGAAUAUUGGACAAUGGGCGCAAGCCUGAUCCAGCCAUACCGCGUGGGUGAAGAAGGCCUUCGGGUUGUAAAGCCCUUUUGUUGGGAAAGAAAAGCAGCAGGUUAAUACCCCGCUGUUCUGACGGUACCCAAAGAAUAAGCACCGGCUAACUUCGUG